GUAGGGCGCGAGCGUUGUCCGGAUUUAUUGGGCGUAAAGAGCUCGUAGGCGGCUUGUUACGUCGACUGUGAAAACCCGCGGCUCAACCGUGUGGUCUGCAGUCGAUACGGGCAGGCUAGAGUUCGGUAGGGGAGACUGGAAUUCCUGGUGUAGCGGUGAAAUGCGCAGAUAUCAGGAGGAACACCGGUGGCGAAGGCGGGUCUCUGGGCCGAUACUGACGCUGAGGAGCGAAAGCGUGGGGAGCGAACAGGAUUAGAUACCCUGGUAGUCCACGCUGUAAACGUUGGGCGCUAGGUGUGGGGGGCCUCUCCGGUUCUCUGUGCCGCAGCUAACGCAUUAAGCGCCCCGCCUGGGGAGUACGGCCGCAAGGCUAAA
rnacentral:rRNA from 1 species